rnacentral:rRNA from 1 species
CCUACGGGGGGCAGCAGUGGGGAAUAUUGCGCAAUGGGCGAAAGCCUGACGCAGCGACGCCGCGUGAGGGAUGAAGGUCUUCGGAUCGUAAACCUCUGUCAGCAGGGAAGAACGGUCACUGUGCUAAUCAGCAGUGCAUUGACGGUACCUGCAAAGGAAGCACCGGCUUAAUCCGUGCCAGCAGCCGCGGUAAUACGGCGGGUGCGAGCGUUAAUCGGAAUUACUGGGCGUAAAGCGCUCGUAGGCGGUAUGUCAAGUCAAGGGUGAAAUCCCCGCGCUCAACGUGGGAACUGCCGUUGAAACUGGCAAACUGGAGUGUGUGAGAGGAUAGUGGAAUUCCAGGUGUAGGAGUGAAAUCCGUAGAUAUCGGGAGGAACAUCAGUGGCGAAGGCGACUAUCUGGCACAUAACUGACGCUGAGGAGCGAAAGCGUGGGUAGCAAACAGGAUUAGAUACCCGGGUAGUC